GACAGAGGUGCCGAGCGUUAGGCGGAAUCACUGGGCUUAAAGCGUGUGUAGGCGGGUCGUUAAGUGUCUUGUGAAAUCCCACCGCUCAACGGUGGAACCGCUGGGCAUACUGGCGAUCUUGAGCAGUCCAGGGGCGAGCGGAACAAGCGGUGGAGCGGUGAAAUGCGUAGAUAUCGCUUGGAACGCGACGGUGAAAACAGCUCGCUGGGGACUCGCUGACGCUGAGACACGAAAGCCAGGGGAGCGAACGGG
rnacentral:rRNA from 1 species